AUGAACGCUAGCUACAGGCUUAACACAUGCAAGUCGAGGGGCAGCAUGGUCUUAGCUUGCUAAGGCCGAUGGCGACCGGCGCACGGGUGAGUAACACGUAUCCAACCUGCCGUCUACUCUUGGACAGCCUUCUGAAAGGAAGAUUAAUACAAGAUGGCAUCAUGAGUCCGCAUGUUCACAUGAUUAAAGGUAUUCCGGUAGACGAUGGGGAUGCGUUCCAUUAGAUAGUAGGCGGGGUAACGGCCCACCUAGUCUUCGAUGGAUAGGGGUUCUGAGAGGAAGGUCCCCCACAUUGGAACUGAGACACGGUCCAAACUCCUACGGGAGGCAGCAGUGAGGAAUAUUGGUCAAUGGGCGAGAGCCUGAACCAGCCAAGUAGCGUGAAGGAUGACUGCCCUAUGGGUUGUAAACUUCUUUUAUAAAGGAAUAAAGUCGGGUAUGGAUACCCGUUUGCAUGUACUUUAUGAAUAAGGAUCGGCUAACUCCGUGCCAGCAGCCGCGGUAAUACGGAGGAUCCGAGCGUUAUCCGGAUUUAUUGGGUUUAAAGGGAGCGUAGAUGGAUGUUUAAGUCAGUUGUGAAAGUUUGCGGCUCAACCGUAAAAUUGCAGUUGAUACUGGAUAUCUUGAGUGCAGUUGAGGCAGGCGGAAUUCGUGGUGUAGCGGUGAAAUGCUUAGAUAUCACGAAGAACUCCGAUUGCGAAGGCAGCCUGCUAAGCUGCAACUGACAUUGAGGCUCGAAAGUGUGGGUAUCAAACAGGAUUAGAUACCCUGGUAGUCCACACGGUAAACGAUGAAUACUCGCUGUUUGCGAUAUACUGCAAGCGGCCAAGCGAAAGCGUUAAGUAUUCCACCUGGGGAGUACGCCGGCAACGGUGAAACUCAAAGGAAUUGACGGGGGCCCGCACAAGCGGAGGAACAUGUGGUUUAAUUCGAUGAUACGCGAGGAACCUUACCCGGGCUUAAAUUGCAGAUGAAUUACGGUGAAAGCCGUAAGCCGCAAGGCAUCUGUGAAGGUGCUGCAUGGUUGUCGUCAGCUCGUGCCGUGAGGUGUCGGCUUAAGUGCCAUAACGAGCGCAACCUUUGUUGUCAGUUACUAACAGGUUCCGCUGAGGACUCUGACAAGACUGCCAUCGUAAGAUGUGAGGAAGGUGGGGAUGACGUCAAAUCAGCACGGCCCUUACGUCCGGGGCUACACACGUGUUACAAUGGGGGGUACAGAGGGCCGCUACCACGCGAGUGGAUGCCAAUCCCCAAAACCUCUCUCAGUUCGGACUGGAGUCUGCAACCCGACUCCACGAAGCUGGAUUCGCUAGUAAUCGCGCAUCAGCCACGGCGCGGUGAAUACGUUCCCGGGCCUUGUACACACCGCCCGUCAAGCCAUGGGAGCCGGGGGUACCUGAAGUGCGUAACCGCGAGGAGCGCCCUAGGGUAAAACUGGUGACUGGGGCU
rnacentral:rRNA from 1 species